rnacentral:rRNA from 1 species
UACGUAGGUGGCAAGCGUUAUCCGGAAUUACUGGGCGUAAAGAGCGCGCAGGUGGUUGAUUAAGUCUGAUGUGAAAGCCCACGGCUUAACCGUGGAGGGUCAUUGGAAACUGGUCGACUUGAGUGCAGAAGAGGGAAGUGGAAUUCCAUGUGUAGCGGUGAAAUGCGUAGAGAUAUGGAGGAACACCAGUGGCGAAGGCGGCUUCCUGGUCUGUAACUGACACUGAGGCGCAAAAGCGUGGGGAGCAAACAGGAUUAGAUA